rnacentral:rRNA from 1 species
GCCUACGGGGGGCAGCAGUGAGGAAUAUUGGUCAAUGGGCGGGAGCCUGAACCAGCCAAGUCGCGUGAGGGAAGAAGGUACUGAGUAUUGUAAACCUCUUUUGCCAGGGGACAAAGGCGGCCACGGGUGGCCGUAAGAGGGUACCUGGAGAAAAAGCAUCGGCUAACUCCGUGCCAGCAGCCGCGGUAAUACGGAGGAUGCGAGCGUUAUCCGGAUUUAUUGGGUUUAAAGGGUGCGUAGGCGGAUUUUUAAGUCAGCGGUAAAAUGUCCGGGCCCAACCCGGGCCGGCCGUUGAAACUGGGGAG